UAUAUUUUAACAGAUUUUUUUCCGUAUACACGUAUUACGGGUGUUUUUCCGUUUAUAUACAUUUUCGAAUUGCAUUGUGGGAAGGGGAUCGCAGCUCAGACAGCGUUUGAUGGACACCGGGACAUAUUUCUUCCUCUGUUUUUUCCCUGUUGUUUGUCCGUAUUUUUCUAAACUGCCGUGCGCGGGAAGUGACGUGACGUCCCAAUCACCCACUCACUCCCUCUGCACCUGCGUGAGUCUGACUGGAUUAACGGUAAACGUCAGCUUGUCUGUGAGAGUGUGAAAGGUGUGUUGGUGUAAAAAUUGAUGCUGACUGAACUCGGGCAGUUGUGCUGGACCAUCUGUACUUAGUACAGGGGAUGACAGUAAACUUUCAAGCUUAAGAGCCACCUGAUGAUGAGAGAGACAAUUUCAAUGUGGGCAUCUUGAUGAAGAAGAGUCCACAGUCACAAUAACAAGAUCAUUGGGCUGUCCCCUAAUUGUGGUGAGCUACAUGUUUAGUCUCUUAUGUGCUAAACAUUAUGUAGCCUAAGGAAGCAGCCCUGACUCUGGAGUUUAUAUGAAGGAGCAUGCUGAGUAACUAUCCAGAAUGUAGGUCCAAAGCAGAAAAAAGAGCACCAAGCAGAAACAUACCAUCUAAACUCCUUCGAUUCCUGUCAGACCAGAAAGACUUUCAGAAUCCUUGGAAGAUUUAAAGCCAUUGAAGUAUCAGUAUUGGAGCGGAAGAAGACCCAGUUGUAUCGUCUGUUUCCUGCCAUCUUGCAGUUUAACCUGGUUUCUUAAUGUAAAGUACUUGUACUUUGCCCACUUGUCCUCAAUUAUCUUAAAGCUAACAUUUAAAACUAAUUUGCUAUGAGAUUAUUUGCCAAGACCUCUCACUGUGUGAUUCACAUGUCAAUAUGUAUUAUUGUAUGUAUAACUAGCUAUUUGGAAUUCAAAUGAUUUGUAUUCAUUAAAGAAUCUGUUUUAAUUGCAAA